AGGUCUUGCCUGCCCAGUGACAAUAUUAAACGGCCGCGGUAUUUUGACCGUGCGAAGGUAGCGCAAUCACUUGUCUUUUAAAUGAAGACCUGUAUGAAUGGCGGAACGAGGGCUUAACUGUCUCCCCUUUCUAGUCAAUGAAAUUGAUCUGCCCGUGCAGAAGCGGACAUAAAAAUACAAGACGAGAAGACCCUUUGGAGCUUUAGAUAAAAGAUUAACCAUGUCAAGAACACAAACAAGUUAAACUAAAUGGUAUCUAAUCCCUAUCUUCGGUUGGGGCGACCACGGUGAGAAAACAAAGCUCCCGAGAGGACUGGGAAUAAUUCCUAAAACCAAGAAAAACACUUCUAAGUAACAAAACAUUUUGACCAACAAGAUCCGGCUAAACGCCGACCAACGAACCAAGUUACCCUAGGGAUAACAGCGCAAUCCCCUUUAAGAGUCCAUAUCGACAAGGGGGUUUACGACCUCGAUGUUGGAUCAGGACAUCCUAAUGGUGCAGCCGCUAUUAAGGGUUCGUUUGUUCAACGAUUAAAGUCCUACGUG
rnacentral:rRNA from 1 species